rnacentral:rRNA from 1 species
GUCCACGCCCUAAACGAUGUCAACUGGUUGUUGGGUCUUCACUGACUCAGUAACGAAGCUAACGCGUGAAGUUGACCGCCUGGGGAGUACGGCCGCAAGGUUGAAACUCAAAGGAAUUGACGGGAGCCCGCACAAGCAGUGGAGUAUGUGGUUUAAUUCGACGCAACGACGAAAACCUUACCAAGGAUUGACAUCCUAAGAAGACCGAGUAAUGUUGGUUGUGCCUCUUCGGAGGAACUUAGAGACAGGUGGUGCAUGGUUGUCGU